CAAACAAAUUGUGCAUGUCGGAAAACACAAAUUUGAACGUCCCAGUCCCGUGUUUGCAGUAAAUGGGGAAUUGCCUCAGCGGCUGCAGGCCUGAGUGAGCGCCGCCAUCUUUAUUCGGGACAACGAUUCACUGGACACGUGCGGAGCCGCCAUCUUUGUAGGGGGCAAGGUGCAGCCAGGCGCAUGUGCAGCCUCUCUCUGGUACAGAGUCAUUGUGAUGACAGCAGCCAAUCCUGCUCUGAUUCACCUCUGGGCUCCCUCAGGACCACUUUGUCAAUGUCCAGCUUCCUCAGUCUCCAACCAUGGGGAUCCCAGUGAUUAAUGCCAAAGCCCUGUUGCCUGGGGAGAGGGUGAUGUUUGACUUUCUUGUACAGCUGCAGUUUGUGUGGUGAAGGUGCUCCCACAAUGUGGUUGGAUCCCAGUGAUUAAUGCCAAAGCCCCAUUGCCUGGGGAGAGGGUGAUGUUUGACUUCCUGUACAGCUGCAGUUUGUGUGGUGAAGGUGCUCCCACAAUGUGGUUGGGUGGACAUUCAGAUGGUAACCUCAGUCAUUGUAACACCAAACUCUGACAGAAUUACUCAAUUCAUCAGGACCUGGAUAUUUGCAUUUAGUUCUUCUGGCAACAAAUGGCCACAAACCGAUCAAAGGUGAAAGUGACGGUGAACCAGACAGAGCAGUCAGUGGCUGCAUAAAGCAGGACGGCGUGGAUAUUACACACGGGGACGGAGUACCACAGGAAAUAAAACUGUUCCUCAUAAACAAUGGGAAUGUGUCUCAGGAUCAGGUCGAGGAUAAUGACCAGGAGAUCCGCCGCUGCCAUCGCCCCCAGGUAACGUCUGACACAUGGAGACAAUCCACAAUCUUUAUAAAGCAGGACGUAGAUGGUCACUACGUUAACUGUGAGGAAUGAAAACAAACCCAUUAUCCAUCAGCCUGGAGGCAAA